rnacentral:rRNA from 1 species
AACGAACGCUGGCGGCAUGCCUAACACAUGCAAGUCGAACGAUGCUUUCGGGCAUAGUGGCGCACGGGUGCGUAACGCGUGGGAAUCUGCCCUUGGGUUCGGAAUAACAGUGAGAAAUUGCUGCUAAUACCGGAUGAUGUCUUCGGACCAAAGAUUUAUCGCCCAGGGAUGAGCCCGCGUAGGAUUAGCUAGUUGGUGGGGUAAUGGCCUACCAAGGCGACGAUCCUUAGCUGGUCUGAGAGGAUGAUCAGCCACACUGGGACUGAGACACGGCCCAGACGCCUACGGGAGGCAGCAGGGGGGAAUAUUGGACAAUGGGCGCAAGCCUGAUCCAGCAAUGCCGCGUGUGUGAUGAAGGCCUUAGGGUUGUAAAGCUCUUUUACCCGGGAUGAUAAGGACAGUACCGGGAGAAUAAGCUCCGGCUAACUCCGG